UUUUAUGUUAGUUUGUCCCCUAAACCACCGAAUCCUUCAUCCUGUUGUAAAAAUGUGUGAUUUAAUUCCAGGUCGAUUGUUUAAGCUGUUGAUUGAAACUUCUGUUUAGCAUCAAUGUUCUGUGAUUUUGAUUAAUAUUCAGUUUAUUACAUUGAAUCAGUUUAAGUGGUCAGUUGGUAUGAUUGUUCAUUUAGUUGAUUUGGAUAUAGCUAUUGUAACUUGGUGUUUGAUUGGGAAUCAGUUUUGGUCAUUUGAUAUGUUUGAACAGGUUUCGAAUUGAAGGUUUCAACAUAGAUUAAAGAGGU
rnacentral:lncRNA from 1 species